GACGUUACCUACAGAAGAAGCACCGGCUAACUCCGUGCCAGCAGCCGCGGUAAUACGGAGGGUGCGAGCGUUAAAUCGGAAUUACUGGGCGUAAAAGCGCAUGCAGGCGGCCUGUUAAGUCAGAUGUGAAAAAGCCCGGGCUUAAACCUCGGAAAUUGCAUUUGAAAAACUGGCAGGCUAGAGUCUUGUAGAGGGGGUAGAAUUUCAGGUGUAGCGGUGAAAAUGCGUAGAGAUCUGAAGGAAUACCAGUGGCGAAGGCGGCCCCUGGACAAAGACUGACGCUCAGAUGCGAAAGCGUGGGGGAGCAAACAGGAUUAGAUACCCUGGUAG
rnacentral:rRNA from 1 species